GGAAACGUGCCCGAAAGUUAGGGAUCACUUUGAUAGAGUGAAACAUAGGGGUUCAAACCCCCUCGUCUCCU
ensembl:Mt_tRNA